GUCCAGCUGACGAGUCCCAAAUAGGACGAAACGUGCGUCCUGGAU
rfam:Schistosoma curassoni strain Dakar, Senegal genome assembly, scaffold: SCTD_scaffold0003449